rnacentral:lncRNA from 1 species
UUUCUGUUGGACAGUUCUUGAGCCGGCUACCCUCGGGGUGGUAUACGGCGCAGCUAGAUACAGCCAGGAUGGGUCCGUUUUGGGCAGCUCGGGUGAGAUAGUGAGUGACGCUUUUCCCUACCUUUAGUGAGGUUGUGACGUGAGUGGAGUCUUAGCCGUCCUGUUGGACCUUUUCUGGAACCGACUACUCUUGAGAUACGGUGUAGUCUAAUUAGGCGAGACGGGUGUAUUCACAGUCUUUAGAGAGUUUUCUCCGCCGGUUACUCUUGAGAUACGGUGUAGUCUAGUAGACGAGACUGGUGUAUUCACAGUCUCUAGAGAGUCUUCUCCGCCGGUUACUCUUGAGCUACGGUGUCACCUAAUUAGACGGGAUGGGUGUAUUCACAGUCCCUAGAGAUUUUCUCCACCAGCUACUCCUGGAGUAGGUUACGGGUUCGAUCCGACAGGCGGGACGGGUGUGUUCACAGUCCCUAGUGAGAUUGAGUCAGUAGUGACUUUCACUAUAGUUGGUUAGUGUAGAUCACGCUAGUGUAGCGAUAUGUAGCUGUAGAUUCCUUUCCAGCUUUUCCUGCUAGCCUUGUUACCUUCUGUAGACUUAGUGGGUGGACCGAUGAUUGUUGAGGGCGGCACCCACUAAGGACUACUUGUUUCUACAGUAGUUCUCACGCCCAGUUGUUACCCCGUUUUUGGAAAGCCUUCAUCUUCGGCUGCUGUUGUUGCUGAUCAGGAUCUAGGCAAGGGCGUCGCGAGUUAGAGCCCUACCCGAGGAGCAGAGCUAGAGGCACCCCUACUACAGGUAGAUGUUUUGGUUUGGGUUCAUGUACAUACAGACUUUUAAC